GAGAGAGAGAGAGAGAGAGAGAGUUGAAUGGAGAGGUGGAGGAGAUGGUGGUGCUUGAAGAGCAAUUUCCUCUUCCAAACAAAGAAUACAGUCCUCAGUAUUAUUCAACGCCUUGCCCACAAACACAAAGGUAACCUAAGGCAUGGGCUAGUGAAACUUUAUGAGGACAACGAGUCUUGCACAGAAUGUGAAGAUAUCCAAGUGAUGUGGGAAAUGAUUCAUUCUUUUUUACCACCUACGGCCCAGAAAAGCCAGAGCAAGAAGAGAUGUAAUUUGACGUUUUGCUUUAGUCCAACCUGAUGAAACAUCUGAAGAGGACUCUUAGAUGCUCUGAUGCACUACCACCCUACUAUUUUCAUUUACUCUUUCUUUGAUCUUGGUUCAAGGGGGGAAUGAAGUCAUUGAAUGACCUUGCUUUCUUCCCUUUCUGCUUCUUUGUAAAUCUAGGCCAUGACCUCAUUCUACUCCCCUCUUCAUUCUGCACCAUACAAGCUAGUCUGAUAGAUGUUUAUUAAUGAAUUUACAUUA